AUUUGACCUCAGAUCAGGCAAGGCUACCCGCUGAACUUAAGCAUAUUACUAAGCGGAG
rnacentral:rRNA from 1 species